CUGGGCUUGACAUGUUCGGUCUACCUGCAGAGAUGUGCGGUGCUUUUGCGCCGUUCACAGGUGGUGCAUGGUUGUCGUCAGCUCGUGUCGUGAGAUGUUGGGUUAAGUCCCGCAACGAGCGCAACCCUUGUCCCAUGUUGCCAGCAUUCAGUUGGGGACUCAUGGGAGACUGCCGGGGUCAACUCGGAGGAAGGUGGGGAUGACGUCAAGUCAUCAUGCCCCUUAUGUCUUGGGCUGCAAACAUGCUACAAUGGCCGGUACAAAGGGCUGCGAGCCUGUGAGGGUGAGCGAAUCCCGGAAAGCCGGUCUCAGUUCGGAUCGAGGUCUGCAACCCGACCCCGUGAAGUCGGAGUCGCUAGUAAUCGCGAAUCAGCAAUGUCGCGGUGAAUACGUUCCC
rnacentral:rRNA from 1 species